rnacentral:rRNA from 1 species
UACGAAGGGGGCUAGCGUUGCUCGGAAUUACUGGGCGUAAGCGUGCGCAGGCGGUUUUGUAAGUCUGACGUGAAAUCCCCGGGCUCAACCUGGGAAUUGCGUUGGAGACUGCAAGGCUGGAGUCUGGCAGAGGGGGGUAGAAUUCCACGUGUAGCAGUGAAAUGCGUAGAGAUGUGGAGGAACACCGAUGGCGAAGGCAGCCCCCUGGGUCAAGACUGACGCUCAUGCA